CAGCGCGGUAAUACGAAGGGUGCAAGCGUUAAUCGGAAUUACUGGGCGUAAAGCGUGCGUAGGCGGUGAGUUAAGUCUGCUGUGAAAUCCCCGGGCUCAACCUGGGAAUGGCAGUGGAUACUGGCUCGCUAGAGUGUGUCAGAGGAUGGUGGAAUUCCCGGUGUAGCGGUGAAAUGCGUAGAGAUCGGGAGGAACAUCAGUGGCGAAGGCGGCCAUCUGGGACAACACUGACGCUGAGGCACGAAAGCGUGGGGAGCAAACAGGAUUAGAUACCCCAGUAGUCCCUGUCUCUUAUACACAU
rnacentral:rRNA from 1 species